AAAAACCCAUGAUCCCAAAAAUAUCAGAAUGUAUAAACUAAACAGAAUGCAUUGCAGUAAAGUAACGACCAAAAACAAAUAUACAAAUGGAAUAACUUAGGCCUGCAUGAAAUGAAGACUACUAAGAAACAGUAAGAUACCAAACUAAUGAACAUAAUCUACUAAAAAUUUGAUUAGAUUAAUUAAAAAAAAAAAAUAGCAUGCAAGGGGAGGCAAACUUGAUUCUUGAAUGUAUAUUAUUUUAUGAAUUCGGAAAAUCUGUAACAAGACAUAGUAUUCAUUAAAUAAAGAACACAUCACUAUAAUUAUAAUACUUAAAAAUGAAAGAUAUUAGAAGUACGGAAUCCAGACAAGAACAUGUUCGUUGUAUGGUUAUUAAUAAAUUGAUUCACAAGUUCAACUCAGUAAAA